rnacentral:rRNA from 1 species
AGCGAACGCUGGCGGCGUGCCUAACACAUGCAAGUCGAACGUGAAAGGGAGCAAUCCCCAGUAAAGUGGCGUACGGGUGAGUAACACGUAGGUAAUCUACCCCAGAAUCUGGAAUAACCGGCCGAAAGGCUGGCUAAUACUGGAUAGAGCGACGGAAUCCGUAAUUGGGUUUUUCGGGAAAGGGAGCCUGUAAAAAGGCCUUCGUUCUGGGAUGAGCCUGCGUCCCAUCAGCUAGUUGGUGAGGUAAAAGCUUACCAAGGCAAUGACGGGUAGCUGGUCUGAGAGGACGAUCAGCCACACUGGAACUGAAACACGGUCCAGACUCCUACGGGAGGCAGCAGUGGGGAAUCUUGCGCAAUGGACGAAAGUCUGACGCAGCAACGCCGCGUGAGUGAAGAAGGCCUUCGGGUUGUAAAGCCCUGUCGAGUGGGACGAAAAUGCUUGGAGUUCACAGCUCCAGGAACUGACGGUACCACUAAAGGAAGCACCGGCUAACUCCGUG